rnacentral:lncRNA from 1 species
AUGCGCCUGCGGCGAUCACAGCAAUAAUCGGAGAUACCAGAUGUGUGGUCGGAGGAUGAUACAGUCAGAUAUACCAGUCAACAGGAGAACCUGUGAAGGGAAGGGAUAGGAAGGGAGAAAGGAGGGACUAGAAGCCGUAGCCUCAGGCAGAGCCUGGGCGUAGUUGUUGGGGCGUGUAGAACGCCAGAGGUAUUGGAUAGGAGGGAAGAGCGGGACUACCCUAUAAGGCUGAGUAACCGCUGGUGUCGUACGCGCCGCUGAUGCGCAACCCGGCUGAACUGAGCAAGCUGGGCUCCCUGGCAAGCAAGUCGAUACAACAGGUAUGUGCUACGCUCACAGGCAAGCAAUCCGAUGCGAAUGCUACAGGCUGCACGCACAGGCAGGCAAGUCGGUGCAACAGAUACGAGUUGCUUACACCCAAGGCUGGUGGAUACAGUAUGCAGACCAGAUGGCUGGUAGAAGAGAGCAGGAGUCGGGAGCGGUAGUCUGUCGCAAUCCCGAAGGGAAACCGGAAGGGGGGGAAUAGGGAGACAGUAGGCUGGAUCGGUCGCAAUCCCGAAGGGAAACCGGAGGAGGGAGUAGGGAGACAGUAGGCGCCGGGGGUGACGGGGGAAGCCUGGCACACUAGAAGGCCGCGCACUACGGCGAAGGGCUUAGGUCCGGUCCGGUCCGCACGCGUCGGUCGCAGAAAGGGAAGGGGCAACCCGCGAAGGGGAAUUUGCACUAAACCGUUACAAGUAUGCUGUCACGGGUUGUGACCACAAGACACAGCACACGCCAAACGAGCUCUGGUACCUUGAUGCAACCAGGCUGUGGAGUCAGAGUUGGCCACGAAUGUUCGGGCAAGGAGCCAGCUAAGCACAGGCUUGGUGCGACCUAGUUGUGAGGGGGGGCGGCUACCGCUAGCGUCUCUGGCUGCUUAGUCGUAGACGUAGGCUUCCUAAGGCAGGUGCUGUGCAGCUGUGGGAGUCGACCUGGAAUGUUCGUCAGGCCCCUAGAUUGACUAGUGUUGCGGAACUAAUGCGUACGUAGACCAGAGCGGAAGGCGGAGUGGGCUUGCAGGCGGCACGAGAGUAGGCAGUCAGUAGCGCAAGUUGUGAAUUCACAUGUUACCUCGUAACCGACGGUAAACGCUGUGGACGUUCGCGCCCAUGGCUGGCUGACGGAAGGUGGCUGCUGUAUUGGGAUGGCUGGGCUGGACGACGGCGGCCGGGCUGGCGUCGGGACUACCAGAAAGGAUGCGCGCGAAAACCAACCUAGAGAACACCAGCGCCACCGGUGCCCAGCACGACAUGUAUGGGAGGGAGGGAGGGAGGCACAGGAGGCGUGAUGCACGGCAGCGUAGAUAUCGCUAGGUAACUACAUCGUGGCGGGCGCGCCAGACCUUUCACCGACCUCGUCAACUACCCAAAACGUCGCUCGAUGGUGGGUGUGCUAAACCACUUCUUCAAACAUUCUAGGCUAGCCCAAGGCGCCACUAGAAACAUCGAGCGAGUCCGGAAACUAACGCUAGGUGGUCUACACAGGGUCCAAACAUCAUAAUGCUCGGUAGCUAAGUCCAGAAGCUUCGUCCGAACAUUGUACAAUCCAUCUAGAGCCAGCAUUGGCAGUCUACUUGCCCCUGGCGGCCUUGCCCCUGGCGGCCUUGCCAGCCUUCGCGACCGGAGCCUUGGCAGCCUUGCCCUCAGUACCUGGUCGAUCCCGAUCGUUUUCCGAUGGCGGGGUGAGCUUGUCUCACUCCUCCUUAAGACACGCGGGCACCUGUGCCCUGCGUAGAUAUUAUUAUUAUUAUUUCCACUGCAACGGUCUCGUUCUGUAUUUGCUCCGGUGUUAUAAGACUGUAUUGAUAAGGCUGAGGUAGACCAGAGAGUUAUCGAGAUAAGGAGGAGAAAUCGAGACUAAUCGAGGAUGCGGAAGCGUA